GUGCUCGCUUCGGCAGCACAUAUACUAAAAUUGGAACGAUACAGAGAUUAGCAUGGCCCCUGCGCAAGAAUGACACGCAAAUUUGUGAAGCGUUCCAUUUUUUU
rnacentral:snRNA from 1 species